GUGCACGCUGGCGGGAGGCCUAACACCUGCAAGUCGAACGGCAGCACCGUAAGAGCUUGCUCUUACGGGUGGCGAGUGGCGGACGGGUGAGGAAUACAUCGGAAUCUACUUUUUCGUGGGGGAUAACGUAGGGAAACUUACGCUAAUACCGCAUACGACCUACGGGUGAAAGCAGGGGAUCUUCGGACCUUGCGCGAUUGAAUGAGCCGAUGUCGGAUUAGCUAGUUGGCGGGGUAAAGGCCCACCAAGGCGACGAUCCGUAGCUGGUCUGAGAGGAUGAUCAGCCACACUGGAACUGAGACACGGUCCAGACUCCUACGGGAGGCAGCAGUGGGGAAUAUUGGACAAUGGGCGCAAGCCUGAUCCAGCCAUACCGCGUGGGUGAAGAAGGCCUUCGGGUUGUAAAGCCCUUUUGUUGGGAAAGAAAAGCAGCAGGUUAAUACCCCGCUGUUCUGACGGUACCCAAAGAAUAAGCACCGGCUAACUUCGUG
rnacentral:rRNA from 1 species